rnacentral:lncRNA from 1 species
CGCAGUUUACUGUUCAUUUUGCUUGCUUCUACGGUCACCCCUGCCUUAACUCCUAGGCUGAUUCAGAAGUUCUCAAAGGCAUCAUACGUAUAUGCCAUGCUAAAGAGAGGAGAUCGAUGUGAAGGUGAAACCAGUCGCAAACCGCGUUCAAGUUCGAACAUCAAAGAAGUCAGCCAAAGCACAAGCUAUUGCGCAGGUCAGUAAAAGAUCUAUCCAGCUGCAUAAUAACAGUUCGCCAUAUUCAAGGACUGUGGAAAAUAAUCAGGUAGCUGUUCACGUACGGCUGUUCCGUAGUGAGAGUGGGAGAGACGAAUGCAGAUGACCGUCAUGUGUACCCUGCCUAUAUCACCGCGUCUGCGCUGGGAUCUCACGUUACAAAAUGUCGAUGCAGAUGGUACCUCAAUCAGCAGUUAUCGCCUCACGUCAAAGGUUCCAGUUGGACUACAACUCGAGGACUCAUGCUUACGGGUUUAAUGCGGAGUCGUGUUAAGCACGCUGUUUUUCUAGCGCUUACUGUCCAGCCAGCCCUGGGGCGAGCAUCAAACUAAUUGUCAGCACGUAUAGCAAUCCAAGCCCAAGCGCCCAUGCCGUAAUAACAGCUGUCGUAUGUGCCUCCUGCAUCCAGCAUACGGCACCCCAACAAGCCGAGCGAUCGGGCACAAUCUUUAGGGCCGCAUACAUGAUCAUCCAAACCAACGAAUUCCCACGAUAUUCCAGUCGAAAAGGGCAGAUGCUUAUCAUGCGUCUGUUAUGCAUCAGCAUGCAGCAAAACAACCAUGGCCUUUCGUUGCGAAAUAGGAACGAACUUGAAUCCAGAAAAACCGACCAACAUGCCAUUAACCACGCAAUCACGUUAAUAUGGGUUGAGGAGGGUUAACGAGUGCACUCUGCGCCGUUCACACAGCCAGCCAUUCCCUUCUUCCCCACCCCACCACCAACCAUACCGUUGCACGCCCUGUCUCGUUUCUAGCUCCCCACCAGCCUCAUCUGCCCAUCAAUCUCACGACCCAGCCGCCCCUCAUCCUCGC